rnacentral:rRNA from 1 species
UACGUAGGGGGCAAGCGUUGUCCGGAUUUAUUGGGCGUAAAGAGCGUGUAGGCGGCCACACAGGUCAGCUGUGAAAACUCGAGGCUCAACCUCGAGACGUCGGUUGAAACCGUAUGGCUAGAGUCCGGAAGAGGAGAGUGGAAUUCCGGUGUAGCGGUGAAAUGCGCAGAUAUCGGGAGGAACACCGGUGGCGAAGGCGGUUCUCUGGGC